rnacentral:rRNA from 1 species
UACGAAGGGUGCAAACGUUGCUCGGAAUCAUUGGGCGUAAAGCGCACGUAGGCGGCUUCGCAAGUCGGAUGUGAAAUACCUAGGCCUCAACCAAGGAGCGUGCAUCCGAAACUGCGAGGCUUGAGUACAGAAGAGGGAUCGCGGAAUUCCCGGUGUAGAGGUGAAAAUUCGUAGAUAUCGGGAGGAACACCAGUGGCGAAGGCGGCGAUCCUGGGCUGAUACUGACGCUGAGGUGCGAAAGCGUGGGGAGCAAACAGG